CUAAGAGUUACUAACUUUUGCUAAAUAAAAUUUCCUUGGCAGGAAGCCUAGAUGGAGAACCAUCACUUGAGAAUCUUUUAACUCCAAGCAUGUGCUGUAUACCAAGGGCAUCCUUAUAACCUGUGAGCUUGUUGGAAAUGCAGAAUUUCAGGCCCCUGCAUCAGAAUCUGCAUUUUAACAAGGUUCCAACCAGUGAUUCACAUGCCCGCUAAAGGUUUGGUUUUGUUUUGUGUCCAUUUGUUUUAUUAUGAAAUAUUCACACGUAUAGAAAAGCUUAUAAAUAAACGUCCAGGUGCCUGACAUUUUGCCCCGUGUCUUUAGGUGAAGACUACAAUGAAAAGAGAUGAAACAAUCGAGACCCCCGCUCCUGUGUGGUCUUUCUAGUGUCUCUUCAUCUGCUUUCCUUCCCAGGGAUGGACCAGGCACAGAGAAGUUCCAUCAUUACCAUGGUGACACAGUAAGCGUCACUGUCUAGUUAUCAGCAACGAUAAGAUGUCUCGGAUGCAGGAGAGGGGCUGACAGCGUGUUAGCUGUGCGCAUACAUCCCGUGCGCACCCUCCGGAGCGUGCCCGGACGAGGACGAGGACGAGGUAUGGCCCAGCGAACGGCCGGCGGGCGUCCCACAGCUCUGCUGCCAGAGACGACGCACCUGCAGGUACAGGCGAAAUUCUCCCUUGUGAGAAGCGAGACAAAAG
rnacentral:lncRNA from 1 species